rnacentral:misc_RNA from 1 species
AGCGGUUCUGAAUUCUGAGGCUACGGCAGCACUGGAAAUCAAACCUGAGAAAAGGUCAAUUCUAACAGGUACAUCAUCUGUGCCAAGCUGGAUAUGUUGAUAAUAUAGCAAAAGCUGAUGGAUUCACGUGCUUCACUUGAAACAAGGUUUAUAGUUCAUGAUAACCAAGCUGUCAUUUAGGUUUGAGAAAAUCUCUGCCAGAAAGCUUUCUUGGUGUGCUGAGUCACCUUAAGUUGUGUCAAAUCAAACAAUUAGCUAUUGUUCGACAAGCAUCUCUGAAAAGUACAGUUAUGGAUGGGUCUCAUAGUUUUUAUGACCAAACUAUGCAAGGUCGGGAGUCCUAUUGCUGGCAUCCCAAUCAGAAUCUAGACCAAUACCCAUUCUCUGAUGAUGGCAGCCAAGAGAUGCACCUUUCAGCUGAUACAUUUGAACAGCACUGCACCCUAGAGUCUUCUUCUGGAGCUGGCAGUUACCCUGUUAACAAUUCUCCAUCUACCGCUAGUUUCUCCCCGAAUGAAAGUGCAAUUUCACAGCUAAAUUC